ACCAUGAUAGUUUAACUAAAAACAUCGGCCUUGUAAGCCGAAAACUGAGGACUAAGCCCCUCUCAAGGUA
rnacentral:tRNA from 1 species